rnacentral:rRNA from 1 species
GGCUGUCGCUAUAGGAUGGGCCCGCGGCGCAUUAGCUAGUUGGUGAGGUAACGGCUCACCAAGGCAACGAUGCGUAGCCGACCUGAGAGGGUGAUCGGCCACACUGGGACUGAGACACGGCCCAGACUCCUACGGGAGGCAGCAGUAGGGAAUCUUCCACAAUGGGCGAAAGCCUGAUGGAGCAACGCCGCGUGAGUGAAGAAGGAUUUCGGUUCGUAAAACUCUGUUGUAAGGGAAGAACAAGUACAGUAGUAACUGGCUGUACCUUGACGGUACCUUAUUAGAAAGCCACGGCUAACU